GGGGGCUCAUUGGAAUUGGACCAGUGGAAGUGUCAACCUACCAAGAGUGGAAUCUGUUUUAGGCAGGUGUGAAAAAAUACUGUAAAGUAAAAAAUUUUUUGUCAUUUAACAAAAUACAAAGUGAGUUAACAAAAGAAAAGUCAAAUCAAUAUUUGAUGUGACCACCCUUUGCCUGCAAAACAGCAUCAAGGUACACUUGCACGAAGUGAGAGAUUUUGUAGGCAUGUAGUUACGUGUAUGAACAAACAAUUUUUCCUAACGGGUGCUAAUGAUCAUCAAUUUUAAUAUGUAGCUUGGAACGCAAUCAAUCAUUAACUGAAACAGAAA